GCUGGAGGACUAAGAAGGCGGAGUCUGGUGAAGCAAGACUCCGCUGAUACCAUCCUCCUAGAGAAAAGGGUGGGCGAGAGCAGCCCUCACUGGAGGGUGCUGUGGGGCUGACUGCACCGCCCGACAUGC
ensembl:scaRNA